rnacentral:tRNA from 1 species
GUCGGGAUAGCUCAGAUGGUAGAGCAGA